GCGUCGCGUUCCCCUCUUCCCUGGCAAAAUCGCGACGCAUUCGACGAUGCCCGCGGUUGUGAUGGCGUUGGUGGGUGCAGAUCCUCGGGCUAGACAUGUGCGCGGACGUCAUUGUCGGCAAUGAGCUGAUGCGCGGCAUCUCCGGUGGCCGGAAGAAGCGCCUCACCAUAGAUCCGCGCGCCGCGCCUCCCCUUCCUCCCCCCUCGAUCCUGCUGUGCUCCCGAUCGCACUCCCUCCGUCGCUACAGCCGUGUUUGAUUUCAGGGGAGAUGCUGGUCGGCCCGACCAAGGUGCUGUUCAUGGACGAGAUCUCGACGGGCCUCGACAGCUCCACCACCUUCCAAAUCAUCAAGUGCAUCCAGCAGAUCGUCCACAGGGGCGAGGCCACCGUCGUGGUGUCGCUGCUCCAGCCCACGCCGGAGGUCUUUGAGCUCUUCGACGACGUCAUGCUGCUGUCCGAGGGGCAAAUCGUCUACCAGGGACCUCGGGAGUACUUGCUCAAGUUCUUCGAGAGGUGUGGUUUCCGGUGCCCGGAGAGGAAAGGUGCCGCUGAUUUGCUGCAGGAGGUUCGUCAUUUCGUCACAUUAAACUCCUCGGUUGGAUGCUGAUGGAUGCUGUUUUGGAACAGGUUACAUCAAAGAAAGUUCAGGAGCAGUAUUGGAUACAGAGCGAAAAACCAUAUCACUAUGUAUCAAUCCCUGACUUUGUUGCAAAAUUCAAGAAAUUUCAUAUGGGGAAGAGCCUAAAAAAACAGCUUUCAGUUCCUUUCAACAAGAGAAAAAUCCACAAAUCUGCUCUGGUCUUCUCCGAGCAAUCUGUUUCUACUUUGGAGCUUCUCAAGACCUCAUGGUCCAAGGAAUGGAUUCUCAUGAAGAGAAACUCGUUUGUCUAUGUUUUAAAAACAGUCCAGGUGUGCAGAGACUUUGUCAUGUGACUAUGAGAUGAAGAGCUAAGGAGUAACCGCUGAUAACCUAUCUCAUAACCUAUCAAGAAAAGAAGAUAUUCGUGGAUGAAGUUAUAGAACUGGUUGAGCUUAACGGUCUCAAGGAUGUUAUUGUGGGUCUCCCUGGUGUGAACGGGCUCUCAACAGAACAAAGAAAAGAUUAACAAUCGCUGUAGAGCUUGUGGCAAACCCCUCGAUCAUCUUCAUGGAUGAACCAACUUCAGGUCUUGAUGCAAGGGCUGCUGCAAUUGUUAUGAGAACUGUGAGGAACACUGUCAAUACUGGAAGAACCGUUGUCUGCACUAUCCAUCAACCAAGUAUCGAUAUUUUUGAAGCUUUUGACGAGGUAAUGCAUUUGCAUCUUGUGGAGACGACACACACAUUAGCGCUCAUAUAUUUAAUGCAGCAAUAUAUUGCG